UGAGCCACUGGUAGCACUACUUUAAGAAACCGAAAGUUGCCACCGAAAGUCGAAGGAAGAACUGAUUGCUGGCUUUUGCAACUCAGAAAGGCAAAAUCCAAGUAAAAGGUAAGAAAAUGUUGAUAUACAAGUGAUGGAAUGGAGAGUUUUCUCUACUUAAGGAAUGACACGACAAUAAAAUUGUGAAUGAGGAAGUAGUUGACGCCAUUUUAGGAAUAUUCAACUUAAGAACAAGGUGAAGGGUGUGUGAAGCCGUUUUAAAAAAUAACAAGAAUGGAUAUGGAAAGAAUCUGAAAAAUUAUUGACAGAGUAGAGACUGAGAUCACUCGGCAUUAAUUCGCCUUGCGAACAGAUUGGGACCACCCAAAAAGGAGUCCUAAUGAUUUGCUGCAUGCCUGUGUAAAAGAAGAAACCACCACCAUACAGACAAAUCACAGAGACAAGACAAUUUAACUGCAAAGAGAGGGAUAUCAGUACACCUUUAGAGAGGGGGACAAUUUAACUGUAUACAGAGGAUAUCAGUGUGGUAUAUUAGAUUCCUAAUGAUUUGCUGCAUGACUGUUUAAAGGAAGAUGUCUCCAUCAUGCAGACGUGUCAGAGACAGAACAAUUCAACUGUGAGCAGAGCGAUACUGGUGUUGUAUAAGGUACAUUUGUUUUAAGUACUUUGAAAUUCUUAUUAGAAUACUACAAAGUUCUUG